rnacentral:rRNA from 1 species
UACGUAGGGUGCGAGCGUUAAUCGGAAUUACUGGGCGGAAAGCGUGCGCAGGCGGUUUUGUAAGCCAGAUGUGAAAUCCCCGGGCUUAACCUGGGAAUGGCAUUUGGGACUGCAAGGCUCGAGUGCGGCAGAGGAGACUGGAAUUCCUGGUGUAGCAGUGAAAUGCGUAGAUAUCAGGAGGAAUACCGAUGGCGAAGGCAGGUCUCUGGGCUGACACUGACGCUCAUGCACGAAAGCGUGGGGAGCAAGCAGG